rnacentral:rRNA from 1 species
GAUGAACGCUGGCGGCGUGCCUAACACAUGCAAGUCGAGCGAUUCUCUUCGGAGAAGAGCGGCGGACGGGUGAGUAACGCGUGGGUAACCUGCCCUGUACACACGGAUAACAUACCGAAAGGUAUGCUAAUACGAGAUAAUAUACUUUUAUCGCAUGAUAGAAGUAUCAAAGCUCCGGCGGUACAGGAUGGACCCGCGUCUGAUUAGCUAGUUGGUAAGGUAACGGCUUACCAAGGCGACGAUCAGUAGCCGACCUGAGAGGGUGAUCGGCCACAUUGGAACUGAGACACGGUCCAAACUCCUACGGGAGGCAGCAGUGGGGAAUAUUGCACAAUGGGCGAAAGCCUGAUGCAGCAACGCCGCGUGAGCGAUGAAGGCCUUCGGGUCGUAAAGCUCUGUCCUCAGGGAAGAUAAUGACGGUACUUGAGGAGGAAGCCCCGGCUAACUACGUGCCAGCAGCCGCAGUAAAAC